rnacentral:rRNA from 1 species
UAAUACGUAGGGUGCGAGCGUUAAUCGGAAUUACUGGGCGUAAAGCGUGCGCAGGCGGUUUCGUAAGACAGCUGUGAAAUCCCCGGGCUUAACCUGGGAACUGCGGUUGUGACUGCGAGACUAGAGUCAGGCAGAGGGGGGUGGAAUUCCGCGUGUAGCAGUGAAAUGCGUAGAGAUGCGGAGGAACACCGAUGGCGAAGGCAGCCCCCUGGGCUAUGACUGACGCUCAUGCACGAAAGCGUGGGGAGCAAACAGGAUUAGAUACCCUGGUAGUCCACGCCCUAAACGAUGCCAACUAGGUGUUGGGGAAGGAGACUUCCUUAGUACCGUAGCUAACGCGUGAAGUUGGCCGCCUGGGGAGUACGGUCGCAAGAUUA